UGGAAGAACACACAACCAACUCAUUGAC
rnacentral:piRNA from 1 species